rnacentral:lncRNA from 12 species
CUUCAAUUAAAAAGCUGAUAAAUGAAUGAUAGAGUUCUACACUUUUGUCGUGAAAGAAGAGACAGAAGAGACACACAUAUAGCAGAGGCAGACAGGAGCAGAGCUCUGAGAUGAAGAGGCAGAGAGAUGAAGAAUAAAGACCAGGAGAGAGAGAAAGAUGAACAGAGGAGCAGUAUGAGAGCUGCUGAAGAACUGCAGAGCAAUGCAGAAUAAAAGCGUGUCAUGCAGCAGAACAGCUGGAAAUGAACAGCUUCCUCCAGCGGAUGAGACACAAGAGAUCUGAGGCAGUCCGGUAGAACUCAAGUGUGCAGAAGGUGAGAGGAAACAGAUCUCAAGCUGAAAUAAGAUGCAGGUUUUGCACUCUCAACGCCUUAAUGAACCACCGCUCAAGCCAUGGGUAAUCCUCAGCUCCAGUGGCCAAGAAGAGUGUGCACACUGCACAUGCAUGGCUGGCAUAGCAGAGUCUUGCACACAUGUUGGGGCUCUCCUUUUUAAAAUCGAAGCAGCAGUCCGGAUACGGGGCACCAAGACUGUCACUGAUGUUCCAGCCUACUGGAUGAUGCCCGCUAAUGUUGAUAAGGUCCAAGCAGAGGUGGGCCACAUGAUCGACUUCACCACUGGUGCAGUUAGAGAGUGGCACUUGACAAGU